rnacentral:lncRNA from 1 species
CCUUGUUGUUUCAAUACCACAAUGGCCCUCUUCUUACCGGUGAAGUUUCUAUCAACUUGAUCUGGUAUGGCAACUUUAAGCCAUCGCAGCGAGCCAUUGUCUCAGAUUUUAUUGCCUCUGUCUCUUCUAGAAGACCCACAACAGCCCAACCCUCUGUGGCCACGUGGUGGAAAGCCACUGAGAAAUAUUACAACCUUGUCAAGACGAAGAAAACCUCUCCUCUUCUCCUCUCCGUAGGAGCACAGAUUUUAGACGAGAGCUAUUCGUUGGGGAAAUCGCUCUCCAGCAAGCAAAUCGUGCAGCUAGCAACGAAGGGUGGUCAAAAGGGUGCAAUCAACGUUGUUUUGACAUCAUCCGAUGUUGCUGUUGAAGGGUUUUGCUCUAGUAAAUGUGGUACUCAUGGGUCCUCCUUGAGCGCUAAAACAAUCAGCGGUAAGAGAUCUAAAUUUGCUUACAUUUGGGUCGGUAACUCUGAGACUCAAUGCCCCGGCCAGUGUGCGUGGCCAUUCCACCAGCCAAUCUAUGGACCACAGAACCCUCCAUUGGUUGCACCCAACAAUGACGUGGGUCUUGAUGGUAUGGUGAUCAAUCUGGCUAGUCUUUUGGCUGGGACUGCAACAAACCCAUUUGGAAAUGGCUACUUCCAGGGUCCGAAGGAGGCUCCUCUUGAGGCCGCGUCUGCUUGUCCUGGGGUCUAUGGUAAGGGUGCGUAUCCUGGUUAUGCUGGGGAUUUGUUAGUGGACUCUGCAACUGGUGCUAGCUAUAAUGCUCAUGGUGUUAAUGGAAGGAAUUACGUGCUUCCAGCUUUAUUUGACCCUUCAACUUCAACUUGUUCCACUUUACUUUGAGAAGGGAUCGCAACGCAUUAGUGUGUAUGAGAGUAGAGAGAUUAUUCUUUGAUUUAAUCAUUCUUUCAUUCAAUUAUAAUGAAAUCAAAAUUUCAGCAUAUUUGAAUUAAUGUUGCCUCUUGAAUAUGUUGAUUCUAAACUGACUUGUCUCUUCUUCUAAUUGAAUUUGAUUAAUUGACUAGAGAAAGCAAAAAGGACAGUUUUUUUUUUUUCAAUUCGUAAUCACGAAAUUAAUAUUCAUUUCUUAUUUUUUUAUUGUGCUGUAUCAUCAACAAUUAAUAAACAAAAAUGUUAACAGAGUGAAUAAUUUUUUUGUUGUGUUAUUAAACCUAAUUUAACGAGACACUUGAAAUCUCGCAAUCUGAUUUAAUGUUUGCCCACUUUUAGUUUUUAAUUAAAUUGCAUGAGAGUUAGUCUAAACUAAUUUGAUUAAUUUUGUAGGUUUUAAGACAAUCUUGAUAACUGCUAAAAACAUAAUUUAGCUUCUAACAAAACUCAUAGGUAACAAUUUUUUAAAAUAUUAUUGAAAUAAUAAUAUAUUGGAUCGAUCUAAGCCCCCUAGCGAACCAUGUCAUAGAUUGCAUUGAGUUUCAUAACUCUUUUUAUAAAUUAUAUUUUAAUUAUAUGAUAAACUUAUAUGAUCGUAAAACUGAGUACCAAACUAAAAAUAAAAAUUUAUUUUGAGACAUUAAUAACCCAAGUAGAAAAUAAAAAUAAAUAAAUUAUGUAGUUUAUUUCCAAACAAAUUUAAUAUUGAAAUAAAAAAUAAAAAAAAAACAAUUAAAUGAUGAAAAAAAAUAUUGAACGUCGAUAUAAAAAAAAAUUACAAACAAGCAAUCCAAAAUUAAAAAUAACAAUUAAAAGAAUGAAUGUUAAAAUCAAAAUAAAAAGUAAAUUAAUAAGCAACAACAAAUUUUCACUUUGAGAUUUAAAAUGAAAAAAAGGAAAACAAAAACCAAAAGAAUAAGGAUGAAAAAAAAAUACACUAUCAACUUGGAUUGGAGGUUAAAAUUAAAAUAAAAUAUAAAAUUUUAUAAAAGGAUUAAUGAAAAAAAAUCAUAAGAAUAAGAAUUAAAUUUUAAACACCAAUAUAUUAUAAAACAAUUGAUGUAGAAUUUUCCAACGUGUUUUUUUAAAUUAAAAAAGUUAUAAAUGAACAGGCAUUAAAUUAAAUAAAUCAUGAACUAUUGUGUAAAUAAUUAGGAAAAAAAGUCAUUAACGAUAAAUAACAAUGUAGGUGGAGAAAUUGAGAGACAAAUCAAAAUAAUUAAUAACGCAACAUAUGUUAUUUAACUGAUUAUGUUUAAUAAAUUUAUUUAUUUAGAUCAAUUUAUAAUACAAAUUGACACUCAUAUAAAAUUUAUUUAAUAAAAUUAAAAACAAAAUAUUAUAUAAGGCAGACACAUAUUCAAACAAUUAUGAAAAUAUAUAAUAAAUCUAAAUAAAAUACAUUAAAAAAAAACUACAAAUGAGUCAUACUAACUUCUUAACAAAUUAAACACGUUUAAUAUAAUUAAAAAAAUAAUUAUUAUUUAAAAAAAAGCAAAGUAAGCAAAAAAAAUCAUAGAGAGGGGGUAUUGAUUAAAAUAUUAAUUUAUUUUUUUAAAAAAAUACAUAUAAAGGUAUUAAUUUAAAAAAAAAUUAAAAGGGAAAAAUAUGGACAUACAAUGAACCUGGCUCAAAUAGAAAAGGCCCGUGUGCGGGCUUAUAUUUUUUUAGUUACAAGGGCGGAUGACAUAACGUGUUUUUUUAAAAGAUAAUGUGUUAUGUGUUGCAGUAGAUGACACGUUGUCUAUAAUCCUAGAAUGUAACCAUUGUGGUGACUAGAAAAACAAAGUUCAUGAUUUUUUACAUCCAAAAACCCAUUUCCAACUCGUUUUUGACCUAAAACACAUAGAAAAACAAUAGGAACAUUGUUAAACCAAAUCAUAGAAAAAACACAUAGAAAAAAUGGUUCGCUCAGAGUAAUUUUUAAUAUUUUUAGAAUAGAAAACCUUUGUUCCUCUAUUCGAUACCAUAUCAAAUUAUUGGGUGAAGGCGUAAUUUACAUAGAUUACAACGUAUUAUCUAAGUCUUAAUAAUAUGAUAAUUCAACUACUGUCCUUUAAUAAUAUAAUGAUUCGACUACUAUCCUCUAAACAAGGUAUUCAUAACUUUACAAUCUUUAUUCUUUAUAGCUCAUUCUAAUAAUUACUAGUGCAAAAUCCUUCAAGAGCAAUUUCUUCCACUAUUAAAACAAUUGUUAGACCACCUUGUUAUGAGAUGGUGAUAAACUUAUUGUUUAACUUAGUUAUUUGAGAUUUAUCAAGAUUUGUUUUACGUUUGCUAUUGGAUGUAAUGGAUGUGUUGUUAUUGUUAUUGUUAUUGUGCUUUAAAUAGGCAACCAAUAAAAUUUUACAUGAGCUGAAAUGAAAGUAACGGACUAAAUGUUUAACAACUAUUCAAACCAACUUUUUCACCUACAAUUCUAGCUUACAAGAUGAAGCAUUCUCACUUAAUAUUUCAAUUACCAACAGGAACCAUUAUCUUACAACAAUCACCAAUAAAAUGCAAUACAUUCAGCAAUAAUGUUACAACACAUUAUUUUAACAAUAGAUCAUAAUCUCGUACAUUGAAUCUCCUACUCAAUAGCAACCAUUUAUUUUUCAGAGUAAUGGACAACAACAUAUCAAUAGCAACAUUGACGUCCAGAUCAACAUAUCACAGUAAGAUUUUUAUCUCUUCUAACUGUAAAACACACAACACCAAAAUACAUAGUUUUUAGACCUCGCUCGGGUUCCGAGUUUUGACCGGGUCUCCCAGGUCAAUUUAAUUUUUUUUUUAAAAAAAACACAACAGUCAAUGGGUUGCAACCAGGUUUUUGACUGGAUCUUGCCGGUCAACUGGGUCGCUCGGUCACACCGGGUUUUUCCUUCCCCUUUUUUUUUUAAACCGGACCGAUUCCAGCCCCGCGUCCCAGGAAGACCCGCCGGGCCGGGCCGGUUUCAAAACUAUGCCAAUAUAUAUUCAUGAGAGUUCAAAUAUGAAAAUUAUGUUUAUCAAGCAUUUAAAAUCCAAUGAACAAAUCAUUAUAAUAACCUAUCCAACAAUAUUAGACUUCAAAUAUGAAAUUCAGAUAAUACCAAAAACACACGUGAAUCAUAAUCAACUUCAAUUGGCGAGAAAUAGCAUAGAGAUAACUGUAAGUACAUUAUAUCAUAUUUACCCUUACAUCAAGGUUUAACAUUUGAUCUCCUCUCGAACAUUAAUUUGAGCUAUUGAAAUUUUCUUUCCUUAUCUCCAAUUAUUACCCACAUUUCCCUCUUGCUUCUAGCCAUGAAAAACUAAGUUGCAAAACAAUAAAAUUCAUUGUCGAAAACUACUUCCUCAAUAGAGUAAAACUCCUUCAUAACCUCUUCUAUGCUGCAUCAUUUUUUAUCCUAACCACUAGAUAUGCAUUUCCUCCUAGUAGAGACACCAUCAACCAAACGAUCUAAACGUUAAAAAAGUUAUGUUUCCAUUCAUAAACCUUUUUUUUUAUCACUCUUUUGUGUACAUUGUUGAACAUCUUUUCUUUUUCAACUACUGCUACUACUACUAGGAUUGCUACUACUAUUGGCAAAGUUAACAUAGCAACCAUAUUAUUGACAUCCUCUAUAAAAUUUAGUAAAGUAUCCUCCUCUAAAUCACCACUACCUUCCUCUACAUGUAAAUCCUCAUUAGUAGCAUUUUUUCUCCUUUCACCUACAUCAUCAUCAUCAGAAUUCAAACCCUAUGAUGGAGCCCAAUCAUACUAACUAGUAGCCACAAUAUUUGUAAACAUAAUAUCAUAUUUACAACACAAUGCGGGAUCGAUACCAGAAUGUCUAAACUUUCAAGCUCCUCGUAUCUCCUACAACAAGGGAAAAUUAAGAUAUAAAUGAAUCAUAAUAAUUGUAAGAAUAAAAAAUAAAAUAAUUUAUAGUAAUUGUACACAUGCCGAAACAAAAACAGACCUUGAUUUUAGAUUUUCAUCACUCAUUAGUUGCUGAAAUUGCUCCAAGUUCAGGACUCCAGCCUACUCCGGUUUUGGAAAUCAACUUUUUUCAUAUUCUCCAAUCCUUUUUUAUUCUGUCCCACUUAUUCUUUAAUUGUGCUUUUGUUAAUGCAUGGUCGGUCUGCUCUUUAAAGCAAUUCAUAAUAUAUUUUCAUAUCCAACUUUAUCGAAAUAUGUCUUCGAUCGCAUACUUUUCUUAAUUUCUUUAAUACAAAUGUCAUAAAAUAUGUUCAACAUUUCUCUGGUCCAACAAGCUUUAUCUUGUGAUUGAGAAUCUUCUAUGUUCUCAUUUAAAAAGUUUUUUCUAACAUACAAUUAAUAAGUUAGUUUUCUAGAUGUAAUGUAACAAAAAACAAUGACAACACAGAAUUUUGUUGUGAUAAUAAAUAGCAGCUUUGGUCUAUGAAAGCAACAAUUACUAAGGGCUACUUGACAAGAUAAGGUGUUUGAUACAGUUGAUGAAAUAAGUAAUGUAACAAAUGACGAUGACAACACAGAAGUUUGUUGUGAUAAUAAAUAGCAGUUUUGGUCUGUGAAAGCAACAAUUACUAAUGACUACUUGACAAGAUAAGGUGUUUGAUAUAGUUGAUGAAAUGAAUUUAACAUUAAUAACAAAUAAAAUAUUUUAUAACACUCAAUACAACAAAGAAAUAACGCACAUGGAUUGAACCAAGUUUUUGAAAAAAACAAUUAAAAGAAACCCAUGCAAGUUUAGAAAAGAGAGUUACAGAAGAAGAAAACCAAAUCAUAAAGAAAAAAUUAAGUCUAGUAAUUCAUGAGGAUGUUGAUUGAUCCUAUAUAAAUCAGCAUACCCACUCACUAACCAUAAUAUUACAAACAAAAAAAAUCUACAUCAGAGGUGUCACUAAUAAGUUACAAGAAAUCUGGUAGCAUCAUAAACAUUUUUUGGGAAGUUUUUUUUUUUUUUGCAUAUAGGUUAAUAUAAUAUGUUUAUGGCUUGAGACAUAAGAGUAUUAAACUUCAGUAAAUUACACAAUUACAGACAACAUUGUUAAAAUAUCCUAAUCAUGAACAACAUCUAAUUCUUAUUUUGCAAUGAGGUGAGAUAAAUGAUUGAUGUUGUACUUGAAUUGAAAUGCUUAUGCAUACAAAAUAAUCCAAUUUGUCGGUUUAUAACAUGAAAGAAAAUACAAGUAUUGACAUAUACAAUGACCGUGCAUUAAGAACAUACAUAAGAAAAUGUCUUCAAUUUUUGCCCAGUCACAGCUAAACUUAAAAACAUAUAACUUCAAAAAAAAAAAAGAUAACAAAGAUCAUGAGUCUUUUAGUAUAGGAUGCACCAAAACAGUGAGAAUCGAGAGUUUGUUGUGCUUUUUAAAAAUAAAAGAUGUUAGAUCUAUGGUUCCUGAAUCAAAACAGAACGCGUAAAUUUUGGAAAAAGGAAUAAGUGAGUGAUUUUUGCUGAUAUUGGAAAUUUGAGUUACAUGAAGUGUUUUAAAUAUAUUCUCAAGAAAAUUACCUUGAACAUCAUCAUCAAUUUCAGUGUGUCUUCAACCAUUUCUGGGUUAUGAGGAAGCAUCAUCACCGCGAAAAGAAUAAAAGACGGCAAUAGAUUUGGUGUAUGGUUUAAGUUUAGGACAUGGAUUUGAGUUAGAGAUGGGGUAAUCUUUAAUCUGAAUGAUUUGUUGACAGACAACAGUACAUUCCCUAAUAUUUAACAAUUGGAUCUCCAAUCGGUAAGAAAGUGAGAGUGUGUGAGGUUUGUGAGAUUGAAAUGAGGGGAAAGAACAAUAGAGAGAUAGAAAAGACAUACUAGAGAGAAGAGCAAGAAGAACAAUGAUAGAAGAGACACAUGAAGAGAAAGACAUGGUUAUUUUUUACAAUAGAAAAUUCCAUGGUUUAAUUGUGUCAGUGCAUAUGUGUGUUCAGCAAAAAACAAGUGACGCUUGCUUUUACUUAACAUGUGCUUGCAACAUAGGUUACUGUGGGUCCUAAAAGUUGAAAAGUAUGGGUCAUGGUUAACCAAACAACUUUAAUUUGUGGUUUCAACUUAACAUGGAAGUUACCAUGUAAACAUUUUUUUUUAGAAGGUGUUUGAGAGUGUGGUAGCAGUUACUUUUCAAAGUGUUUUUCACUCUGAAAAAUAUUAAAAUAAUUUAUUUUUUUUAUUUUUUUAAAUUUAUUUUUAAAAUUAACAAAUCAAAAUGAUCCAAAAACAUUAAAAAACUAAUUUGAAAUAAAUAUAAAAAAACAAGUUGAAAUUCAUGGUGAAACACCCCUUUAAGAUUUGGCAGAGAAACCACUUUCCAUUAAAGUUUGAAUGAAGUCAGCAAUGCACCAUUGUUGUAUCGUAGAGACACGGGUGAUGGUUGUUAUAGUGCAUUUAGCUUUCUUGCGGUAGACAUAAAUUAGCUAUGCCUGAGAUUGGAAUGAGAAAGAACAGAGAGAUCAAUUUGCUAAAAUAAGAGAAACCCGAGUAAAAAAUGAAGAUAUUUCAAAUUUUCUCAAAGCAAGAGAGGGAGCUUUUCGAUUUCAAAUGGAUGAGAGAGAGGAAAUGAAAAGAGAGCAUAUGUAGGUGAAUGGGUGCAUGCACUGAGCAAGGGGAUGGUUUGCGGUGUUGCUUUCAUGAGCAACUUAUUAGAGCACUUUAAAGUACUAAGAUAAAAGAAAAGAGUGUGACGUUUGGCCAGAAUAUUCUCUCCCUACCUUCUUUCAUUUCAUCAAUCGAGCAUCUUAUUGUAUGCAGGUUAGGAGACUUGAGUGAUGGUCAUAUUGGUUUCCUAGCUAGCUACCAAAAUGGGAUACAGGUCAAGUACAAUGGUGGACAUAGAUGGACCAUGGCUGCAGCAGCUAAAUGGGAUACAAGUCAAGUACAAUGUAAUAAGCCUUACACUGCACUGUUAUUGUAAAAUGAAUCACACAUUUUCCAUUCAAUCACUUGUAAUCUUUAUACAGUCCUAAGAGCUUAAUUGCAGGAAUUCAAAUGUUUGUAACUGACUAAUAUUGAUUGCAGGAAUUCAAAUGUGUAACUGACUAAUAUUUACAUACAUAAUUAAUAGCAAUAUCUUCAGGAAUAACCGACUGAUUCUGUAGUUAUGAAGAGCAUAAAAUCUGGCAUUUCUUCUGGUGACAGCUAUGCUUGUAUUGGUAAUAAUUUGAAUUCAUCAGUAUCCUUGAUACGCCCCCACAAGAACGGGCUACCAUCAAAUAGACCGAUCUUGUUACGUAAGAAUUAUGUUCGUUGCCUAGAGAGGGGCUUGGUGAGCAGAUCAACUAGUUGAUCAGAGGUGUGGACAUGAUGAACAACAAGGACAUUCUUCGCAACCAAAUCACGGACAAAGUGAAGGUCAAUCUGGAUAUGUUUCAUCCUAGAAUGCUGAACAGGAUUAAAACUCAGUUGUGUUGCACCCAAAUUGUCACAUAACAAGAGUGGUGGUUGAGAAAGAGUGAAUUGCAGCUCUUGAAGCAAGGAUAACAGCCACACGGAUUCAGCUGCAGCCAUUGCCAAAGCUCGAUACUCUACUUCAGUUGAUGAUCGGGCAAUGGCACGCUACUUUUUAGAACUCCAGGAAAUGGGUGUGUUCCCAAGAAAUAAUAGAUAGGCUGACCUUGAUUUUCUAUCGUCCAAAUUGCCAGCCCAGUCUGCAUCAGAAAAACAAGUCAGUGUUGUCUUAGAUUUGUUGCUAAUAGUAUGAAAGAUGGUGUUCUUCAAGUAGCGCAGCAAUCUUUUUAUGGCCGUCCAGUGAGUCUGUGUGGGUUGAUGCAUAAAUUGGGAUAAUUUGUUGACCGCAAAGCUGAUAUCAGGUCUUGUGAGAGACAGGUAUUGCAAGGCUCCAAUGAUUUUACAGUAUUCUAUAGUAUGAGCAGAAGAAGAACCAUCAUUCAGUUGUAGAGGAGCCGAUGUUGAGAGAGGAGUAGUAACAUCUUUGGCACCUUCCAUACUAGUCUUGGCAAGUAAAUCACGGAUGUACUUAUGCUGACUAAGAAAUAACCCGGCUGCAGUAGGGAUAACCUCAACACCAAGAAAAAAAUGCAGUGAUCCCAAGCCCUUGAUAGAAAAUUUUGUUCCAAGAUGAUCGAUAAUACUUGCAACAAAAACUGAAUCACUGCCUGUGAUAAUUAAAUCAUCAACAUAUACCAAACAGUAGGCAAAAGUGGCACCAACAUGAUACACAAACAAAGAGGAAUCAGAUUUAGAAUUAAUAAAACCAAACUCUGUUAAUGCAUUUUUAAGAGCAGAAUACCAAGCACGAGGUGCUUGUUUCAGACCAUAGAUGGCCUUAGUAAGACUGCAAACAUAGUCAGGAUAGUCUGGAUUUCGGAAACCUGGCGAUUGUUGCAUAUACACUCUGUUAGUGAGAUGCCCAUGAAGAAACGCAUUAUUGACAUCUAACUGUUUCAAAGACCAACCCUGCAUCACAGCAAUAGCCAAUACAGUUCGAAUGGUGACCGAUUUAACAACAGGACUAAAGGUCUCCUUAUAAUCCACUCUGGGUCGUUGAUUGAACCCUUUAGCCACUAACCGGGCUUUAAACCGAUCAACUGACCCAUCAGCAUGCCUUUUAACUCUAAACACCCACUUACAAUCAACAGUAUUACAAUCGGGCGGAGGAGGAACCAAUUGCCAGGUAUUGUGACGCAUUAAGGCAGUCAAUUCUGAGGACAUGGCUUCACGCCAUCUAGAGUCAGCUAGUGCCUCAGUAACACUUGAUGGUUCUAAUGAGGAUGGAAGAGGAUGUUUGGUAACAAGAAAGGAUUUUUUGGGUUUAUAGAUGUCAUUCAUUGACCGGAUGACCAUGCGAUGAACUCGAGACUUAGUGUUAACAGGAAUUGGAAGACUAAUUUCAGAGAUACUAGGAGCAUGCAAUUCAAUUGAGGAAUCUGAAUUUAAAGGCAGGGGAGGAGGCGAAGUACUUACCUGGUGAGAAGACGGUGCAGAGGGUGAUCCAUGCUCAGACACUGGUAGGAUAGCAGUACCCACAUCCGGAGACUCGCUGAGACCAGUAAGGGAAAGUUUUGGCAACGAGAUCUGGACAGAUGAGUUGUGUCCAGUAGAUGAAGAAGGAGUGGAACGGCGAUGAUCAUCUUGAUGGAAAGGAAAAGACCCCUCAUGAAAAAUGACGUGGCGCGAGGUGAUCAUUUUUUUAGUAGAAAUAUCAAAACAUAAGUAUGCAUUUUGGGAAAGACUGUAACCCAUGAAUGAACACGAUUUUGAUUUUGGCUCAAGUUUAUGCUGAUUAUAUGGUCGAGUUAACGGGUAACAGAGACAUCCAAAUUGUUUGAGUUUGAGAUAAUUAGGCUUUUGAUUGAAUAAUUUUUCAAACGGAGAUUGAUUAUUCAAGGAAGCAGUAGGCAUUCGAUUAAUGAGAUAGGCAGCAGUUUGAAAUGCAUAAGGCCAAUAAAAAAGCGGCAUGUGGGCAUCAGUGAGUAAAGUUAGACCAGUUUCAACAAGAUGGCGAUGUCGUCGUUCAGACAUACCAUUUUGUUGAGAAGUGUGGGGAGCAGUGGUGUAGUGACCAAUUCCAUGAACAGAGAGAUAAGUUUUUAGUCCAAUGUAUUCCCCACCAUUAUCAGAAUAAAGACUUUUAAUUUUGGUGUUGAAUCGAUUUUCCACAAGAUUACGAAAAUUGUGGGAAAAUGGUCUGAACAUUUGAUUUAUGAGUCAUGGGAUAAAUCCAAAUAUAUUUGGUAUAAUGGUCAACAAAAAUAACAUAAUAUUUUGAGCCAUUAAUCCCAAUAUCGUGAGAUGGUCCCCAAACAUCUGUAUAAAUCAAUUCAAGUGGAGAACUGCUAGUAAAUCCAUGAGUGUGAAAAUCUGACGAUGGGCUUUAUUUUGAGAGCAUGAAGUGCAUAAUGAGGAAUGACCAUUUUUAUUGGUAGGUAAGAAAAAGCAUGAAUAAGAUGAUUAACUAAUUUGGACGAUGGAUGACCAAACCGUUUAUGCCAUCCAUCGGGUGUGGUACGUUCAUGAACAUAGGCAACAAUAUUUUUCUUGGAAAGUGGUAGAUGCUCCGGAAAUGGGUACACUCCAUCUUCACAAGCGCCUUUGAGCAGAAUCGCCCCCGUGAUCCGAUCCUUCACCAAAAAAUAAGUAGGAUGAAAUUCAAUGUAAACAUUGUUAUGCUUGGUGAAAUGAUGAACAUAAAUAAGAUUUUUAUGAAUGGUGGGAACACAAAGAGUGUCAUGUAAAUGAAAAGUAUGAUUGGACGAUUUAAGAGACAAGGACCCAACGUGAGACACAGGCAAACCUGUUCCAUCACCAAUUACCACCUCAUCAGUACCAUCAUAUUCAGAGUUAAUCAUCAGAUUAGACAGAUCCGUAGUCAUAUUGUGAGAUGCUGCGGAAUCAACAAGCCACUUGUGAUUUUUUUGUUGAGAAGAAGCGGCACAAUUUGCAGUGAAAUCAGAAUUUGACAUUUUUGGGCAUUGUUUGGCAGUAUGACCCAUUUGAUCACACCAUUGGCAUUUCGGUUUGAAUCUUCUGUGACCCGAAUGAAAUGAAUUAUUUCGGUGAGACCCACUUUGGUCACGAGGAGGACGAGAAUUAGCUGGGGGACGCCAUUUAGGUUGUCUGAAAUUAGGCGAAAAUUGAGAGGACUGAGGACUCCACCGAUUUGAGUAAUUAGCAGUGGGUACAAACGAGGGAGCAGAUUGAUGAUCAAGACGCCGAAGAUAGCUUUCAUGACUUACAAGAAGAUCAUGUAUUUCUUCAAACUUCAGAGAAGUCUCACGGGCACGAAUAGAAGAUGCAAUUUCUCUGAAUUCAAUACCCAAUCCAUUGAGUAUGUAUAAAGUUAAAUCAUCAUCUGAGAUCGGAUGAUCAAUAACUGCUAGUUCAUCAGCAAUUACUUUGAUGCCGUGCAGGAACUCAGUAACAGUGUGAGACCCACGAGUGCUCAAGGUUAAAUCUUCUUUGAGCUGCAUCACACGAGUUCUGGAUUUGCCCGCAUAUAAACGGGCAAGUGUUGUCCAAGCUUCAUGGGAGGUUUUAUAGGCAGUAAGAAGAGGAGUAAUGGUGGUGGAGGUGGAGGCAAGGAUAGCGUGUAAGAUGAGUUUGUCUUGACGAAUCCAGUGGGAAUUCGCAGCUUUGGAUGCAGUGAAAUUCAGAGCAUCAAUGGCAGGACAUUUGUGUAUACCUGUGACAAAAUCAAUAAGGUCAUAGCCAAUGAGUAAGGCUUCAAAUUGAGCCCUCCACUGUGGAAAGGUGGAGGGGAUUAGUUUUUCAUUGAUUGUUGUGGCUGCAUUGAUUGUGAUGAUGGGUGAGGUUGGUGAUUCGGUGGAUGAUGAAGGGUGGGUGGUCAUGUUGCAGGAAGCAGAUAAAGAGGGUAAGGAGGAUGAAUACUCGUUAGAGUGUUUUCAGCUCUGAUACCAUAAUAAGCCUUACACUGCACUGUUAUUGUAAAAUGAAUCACACAUUUUCCAUUCAAUCACUUGUAAUUUUUAUACAGUCCUAAGAGCUUAAUUGCAGGAAUUCAAAUGUUUGUAACUAACUAAUAUUGAUUGCAGGAAUUCAAAUGUGUAACCGACUAAUAUUUACAUACAUAAUUAAUAACAAUAUCUUUAGGAAUAACCGAUUGAUUCUGCAGUUAUGAAGAGCACAAAAUCUAGCAUUUCUUCUGGUGACAGCUACGCUUGUAUUGGCAAUAAUUUGAAUUCAUCAGUAUCCUUGAUACAAUGGUGGACAUAGACGGACUAUGGCUGCAGCAGCUAAAUGGGAUGCAUGUUUUUUAAAACACUUCUCUAGGCAGGUCUGUAUCUCAAUGUCAAUAUUAUUAGAGUUUCUCUUGGAUCGAUGCGUGCAUUUAAUCACUGUUAUUGUCUUAAGCUAACCACUGAAUGGAGCUACAAAAACUGGGCUUCGAGCCACUUAUGUGCAGUAUUUUAUACACGCGCACAGAGAAAUACUUGAAGUCAAAGGGUCGGGACCGGAAGCCACAAACAUAGCACAUUCGAUGCUGGUUUAUUCGCCGGCAAAGACCAUGGAAUACGAGGCAAAGUCUUCAGAAAUCCCAACGUGACAUAAAUUUAUACAUGCAACUAGUUUUACUGAUAUUUUAAUAAGCUGCCACCAAAACGGAUGGCAAAAGAAAUGGCACUUCUCCUCUCUCAAACGAAGUCCAAAUUCGCCUCAGCAAAUAUAUGGACAGCUACAGCUAUGAACCGCCACCUAAUAGGUGACAAAAGGAAUCCAGGAUGGCUAGAAAAUUAAGCAAGGCCCUUGCUGAUAAUAAACAUUAGCCCCAUCUCUUCUUUAUCUCAAUACCUUUUUUUCAUUUCAAACAUGUAGUUUUAUUUGGAUUUUCAAACAGAUUAAUUAAGAAGAUAUAAACAAUUGCAUCCCAUAUUAUCCAUUUUCAAAUUUCUUCAUUUGAAUAUAAAUAAGAGAGAAAUUGGAUUGAGAUAAUUAAAGGUAUAAUUAAGCAAUUAAUGCUGUGGUUUAUAUAUAUAUAUAUAUGAUGUAUAAUAGUUUUGGAACAUGUCAAAAUAAAACUACGGAUAAUUAAUGCUAUAAAUUUCCAAGAUGUCAGCACGCACUCGUGGAGCUAUAAGAUUUGAAAUUUAAAAUCAGAGAGCAUUAAACAUAGUUAUCUGCUCUGUCAUGUCUGCAAGUAAGAAACAAGGCAGAUGCACUCGUGGACGCAUUGACAAACUCGUUAGCAUCUUUGCAUUUAACAAAUCAAUGCCUCGUGAAUGCUACCUUAAUUUAUAGAAAGCAGCCAAGCUCGUGAAUUUAGGUUCUAGAUGAUGCAUGGCUGUUUGAUCUCCACGGUGUUAAUUAAGUUUAGUGCACUGUAACCCUUUUAUUUAUUUAUUUAUCAAGCCAUUUGCAGUUUAAGAAAUGAGUGAUCUUCAGUGUUAGGUUUGCCAACAUUUUUAAUAUUGUUUAGUUCAGUAAAAAAAAAAAAAAAACCUACCUUCAGCAUUAUUUAUUCUAGUAAACUAUAAACCGAUAAAAAACCUACCUCAUGAAUUAUUUAUUUAGUUUGCUAGCCUAAUUAAUUACUUUUAUGCCAUUUACUUUUCUCAUAAAAUUAUCCAAUUAUAUUUAACUAGUUGUGUGUUUUGUGUUUUGCGCCAAGAUAUUUAUUACCUUUAAUAUUUAAAAGAUAAUUAAGUAAUGUUUUUAUUACUUUUAAUUUUAUCCCAUCCACAUUUUUCAAUUUUCAUAUUCAAGAAAUCUUUAAUUAAGGAUAUUGUUUUUCUAUUUUUUUGUUUUUCAAUCCAAUAAUAUUUGUGAAACAACACACUAAAUACAUACAUUUUUAAUGUUAAAUGUUUUUUUUAUUCAAUGGAAUAAUACUUGUGAAAUAACAAAUUCAUCAAGAUGAAACAACACAUUAUCUUUACGAUGAGCACAAUGAUUCAAGAAAAAUAAAAUAUGAAAGAGUUCUCAUUAAUUUUUUUAUUAUUUUUUUUUUACAAUGAUAUUAUAAAUAAACAUAAGUUAUUACUAUGUGAUACAACAUUAAGAAGAAUUCUAAAGGGGCUCAUAAUUUUACUAUUUAUAGAGACACGGGUCAUUGUUGAUUCACAUAAUGAUUUGAUUAUUAUUUUUAUUCUCUAAAGUUUUUAAUAUUUUUUUAAUUCAGUCCUUCAAAAUUGAAUUUAUUGAAAAUUAAGCUUUGAAAUUUAUUUCAAUCUGAUCCCUGCAAGUUUAUUGUAGAAUCAAAAACAUUAUUGGUAUUGGGUCGAUGCUCAAUUUUACAGAAAAAAAAUAAUGAUUAUAUUGUUUGCAACAAAUUAAAAAUUAAAGGAUCAAAUUUAAAAAAGAAAUAGCAAAUAUUUUUAAAAUUUUUUGUUUUGUUAGCAUUUUUGGGAAGAUAUUUUCCUUGAUCGAAUUUCGUUUUUGGUUCUUUUAGUUUUGCAAUUAAAUAUUUUAGUCUAGAAUUUUAUUUUAUUCAUUUUUCAAUCUAUAUGUUUAAGAUAGAAGAUGAAAAAAAGCCAAUGAAAAACAAUAAAGAAAAAAGAAAAGGAUUAAUUUGUUGGUUUUCGAUGAUAAAAAUAGCCAAAUUCAGUUUCAAAGUGUUUCUCUUGACCAGAGGUGUAAGGUGUUUUUGAGUUUCCAUGUUGUUGGAAAAGGUAGAUAUAGGUUGGAGGAGGUUUUGUUCUCCGACUUGAUUUUGUGUUUAUGCAUUAUUUUUUUUUGGUUUUUUAUAAUGAUAAAUUGGUUUUUUGAGAUUUUAGGGAUUUUUAUUUGAUUGUUUAUUGGUGAGAAUGAGUUAAAAAGUAGAUUUUUAUGUCAAAACAACCCCCUGCUUUUCUAGUCAUGUCUACCGUGGCUGGAUUCUAGGCUCAUUAAGUAUCGUGUGAUUCUUUAUAAACAAAUAUUGGGUGGACAAAAAGAAUAAAAAAUCAAAAGGAUGAAAAAGAAUUAAAAAAAGGUUUAAUUAAAAAGGAUAAAAUACCAAAACAAAUAACAAUUAAAAGAAUAAAAAUUAAAUCCAAUAUAAAAAAAUAAAUGAAAUUGAUUGCCAUGGAACAAUAUUAAAUAAAAAUAUCAAUCAAUGAAAGAAAGAAAUUAUUCAAAAUAUAAUAAAUAAUAAUUAAAAAAAAAUCAAAUUUAAUAUAAAAAUUAAUUGAUAGGACAACUCUUGAUUUUGGCAUGGCAGCACAAUUCUAAAGGAAAGAGAAAUAAAAAAGGGAAAAGAAGAAAAAAAGCUCAUUGAAGCCCAACCAAGAUGCCAACUAACAUGCUACAUUCCAUUGGAAAGAGCGAGUGGUAGCAUUGCCGCUGUGGAAGCUACAUUUCAUUCCCUAUGAGGCACCUCACACGACUCUUAAGACUGAAGAUGCCUUCCACAUGUUAGUACAUGGGUUACACGCACCAUCGAACUUUUCAUAUUUGUUUACCCCAAUCCUCAUACCCGUUCAAGUUUCAAUUUUUAUCCCUCAACACUAAAUUAUUUUAAAUUAGCCUAAUUGUGUAUUAUUUUCCAAAGUCAAGCAUCAACCAAGCAUUGAAAAUUUCCCCGAUAUAUUGCAAGAUCCUAAUAUCAAGACCAACAAAACAAACACACCAAGUGAAGUCCCAAUUAAAAUCAAUACAUGGGAAUCAAAUUGAAAAAUAAAUAUUGAAGUACCGAAGUGUAAAACGGUCUAGAACUUUCCUCUUAGCCGUGCAAAAAAUUCCUUGAGUUUGGCCAGAAAAGGAGUAGAAUAUUUCCUAAAGCUCUAAUUAUUUUAAAUCAAUUAAGUUAAAUUUUAUUUUGCAAAACCAAGAAUCAACCGAUUGAUUGACAUAAUAUUUUCUUAACACUUCAAGAUUCUCAUACCUAUCCAUAAUAAACAAAUCACCAAAACCAAUUACAAAUCAAAGCAAUGUAAGUAAUCAAAUAAGAAGAAAAUGAUCCUAAAAACUUAAUAAAAGAGAUUCAUUGUUUGACUGAACAUUGGAUCUCCAAACAGGCCAUGUACAUUUCUAAGAACUUUUAGGUUUUUUUUAUGAUUAGUGAAAAAUAAUGUUUAAUUAAAUCUAAAAACUCAUAAAAUUAUAUAAUAUAUCAAAAAAUCAUCUGAAUCUAAAAAUUAAGUUAUUAUAUUAGAUUUAGGAUAUGAUUUAUAUUAUUUUCUAAUACAAUAUAAUUCAAAUUUUAUUAUUAUUUAGUAUAAUUUAUUCAAAUAAAGGAUUUUAAUUAAUAUUUUUAUCUCAAAUUUAAAUAUUUGAUUUCUAAUAAUAUUUUCUCUUUAUAUGUAUAUAUAUAUAUAUAUAUAUAUAUAUAUAUAAUGAAAUUUUAGUAGCAAUUAUUGUAUAGCUAUAUCAUUAUUUCAUUUAAGGUUUGAUUAUUUUUCACUGUUUUUCUUUUUCCAAGUCAGACACAGAUUCACUUCCACAAUGAAUUAUCUUGGCGUGACAUCUUAUGUAUUAGCUUGACCCAGCUGGAAUGCUGAUACUUUUUUAUUAUUAUUAUUAUUAACAAAAAUCACAUCCUCUUCCUCCCUUCACCAGCUUUGUUUCACCUACCUUGAAAUGAGCAUUCAUAUCCACGGCCAGAGUGCGUCACCUCACAUGAUCACUCCCCUAGGAUACCUGACGGCCAUUCAUAUCCACAUUCAAACGUUAAAAAGAUAUAUGUAAAUGUUAUUUUUUUUAAAAAAAAGAAUCUAAGUUUUUUUUUAAUUUAAUCUAAUAAAUUUAAUUAAUUUAAUAACAUGAUUAGAGAAAGAUAUUGACAACAAACAAAUAAAAAAUCAACAAUGAUUCAAUGUAAAAAAUAAAUAUCUAUUAAUAUAUAUGAAAAUAUACCCUUACAAUAUUCUUAAAAAAUAUUGCAAUGAUCUUAUCUAUUAAUAAAAUAAACAAUAAAUGAGAAUGAGAUAAUUGCAUAAAAAAAAUAAGAAUCUUAAUUCCACAAAUAACAUGUCGAAUGGGAGAAUGAAAAAAAACAAUUUCAAAAAAUAAAAAGAAAUUGACAAAAGUCUGUCCAAACUAGCAAACCAAACUAUAAUCCAGUCGUGGAAUCACAAUAACCUUGUGAAAAACAAAUUCUAUAAAACUAUUUAAUUUAAUUCUCAAACCAAUCUAAUAUCGAAUGAUAAAAUUAAAAAAUAUAAAAAAACUAUGAAAAAUAUGCUCAGGUCGACCUGUCGAGCCGAGUUUUAAAAUUAUGUCGUUGGCACUCAACCGUUGCUCAUUUGUGGCACGUGCCUGCCAACUCGAAUGUUGUGGGCGACAAUGAUUUGCUGCACACACCAACUGAAUUUUUAUUUUAAUUAAGUUUUUUUAUUUUUUUAAAAAAGAUUAUUUUCAUUUAAGUAUUUAGUUAUCAUUAACAAGUUUUCAUAUUUGUUGAUUCAUAUAUAUAUAUAAUAUUUUUAAUUAUUUAUUAAGUGUAAAUAAUAUUUUUUAUGUUUACAAAUUUUUUAAAAAAAAAACCAUGAUGUAUUUUUUAUUACAUUAAAAAUUAGCCUGAAAUCAUUCUUGUCAUGUAAAUAACAUCUCUACACAAACAAUAAGUUUGUGUUCUUAAAUUAAAAUAAAAUAAUAAUAUUUAAAAUGCAUUAAAAAAUUAACAUAUAUUUUUUAUCAUGUUUGAAACUAACUUGGGGUUAUAAAACUAAUUAACAUGAGAAUAGAAGAGCUUUCAACACGGUGAGAAAUUUAAAAUUAAAAAUUACAAAGACACGAGGUGGUUUUUUUGCCAUCCCCAAAGUCCCUGACCACGUGGCACUAACUUUUUGUCACUUUUCUCUCUCUGAGCCGCGUGGUCCCUGGUCCUCUUAGCUGGCCAAGCACAGUAAUGUUAACAAUAGAUGCAGUUGAAAACGAGAGUAGCGCGCGCGCAUUAGGUUAGCAAUGAAACAACGCGCUAUUUACCUGUCAUGUCACCACUUGCCACUUUCAAUUCUCAACCCACUCUCCGCGUAGCUUCCCUCCCCAGGAUUUCAACUCUUCCCUGAGACUAUAUAUACCCAAUCUCCUCCUCCGUUUCUCUCCACUCACAAAAUCCUCUCUUCCAUCACUACCGAUCAUCAGAUCAAUCAUGGCCUCCUUUCUUUCUUCACAUUCUCUUCUUCAACUUGCUCUGUUAAUCUCUAUUAUACAAUUCAGUUCAGCAGCAAGGACCCUCUCCGAGUCAGAUCAAAGCCAGGAUCCCUUGUUGUUUCAAUACCACAAUGGCCCUCUUCUUACCGGUGAAGUUUCUAUCAACUUGAUCUGGUAUGGCAACUUUAAGCCAUCUCAGCGAGCCAUUGUCUCAGAUUUUAUUGCCUCUGUCUCUUCUAGAAGACCCACAACAGCCCAACCCUCAGUGGCCACGUGGUGGAAAGCCACUGAGAAAUAUUACAACCUUGUCAAGACGAAGAAAACCUCUCCUCUUCUCCUCUCCGUAGGAGCACAGAUUUUAGACGAGAGCUAUUCGUUGGGGAAAUCGCUCUCCAGCAAGCAAAUCGUGCAGCUAGCAACGAAGGGUGGUCAAAAGGGUGCAAUCAACGUUGUUUUGACAUCAUCCGAUGUUGCUGUUGAAGGGUUUUGCUCUAGUAAAUGUGGUACUCAUGGGUCCUCCUUGAGCGCUAAAACAAUCAGCGGUAAGAGAUCUAAAUUUGCUUACAUUUGGGUCGGUAACUCUGAGACUCAAUGCCCCGGCCAGUGUGCGUGGCCAUUCCACCAGCCAAUCUAUGGACCACAGAACCCUCCAUUGGUUGCACCCAACAAUGAUGUGGGUCUUGAUGGUAUGGUGAUCAAUCUGGCUAGUCUUUUGGCUGGGACUGCAACAAACCCAUUUGGAAAUGGCUACUUCCAGGGUCCGAAGGAGGCUCCUCUUGAGGCCGCGUCUGCUUGUCCUGGGGUCUAUGGUAAGGGUGCGUAUCCUGGUUAUGCUGGGGAUUUGUUAGUGGACUCUGCAACUGGUGCUAGCUAUAAUGCUCAUGGUGUUAAUGGAAGGAAAUACGUGCUUCCAGCUUUGUUUGACCCUUCAACUUCAACUUGUUCCACUUUAAUUUGAGAAGGGAUCGCAUUAGUGUGUAUGAGAGUACCGUAAAGCUGUAGGAGAGAUUAUUCUUUGAUUUAAUCAUUCUUUCAUUCAAUUAUAAUGAAAUCAACUUUUCAGCAUAUUUGAAUUAAUGUUGCCUCUUGACUAUGAUGAUUCAAUUCAGAUUCGUAAUCAUGAAAUUAAUAUUCAUUUUUACUUGUUUCUUGUUCUGUAUCAUCAACAAUUGUAUCAUUUCUUAUUGUUUAUGUCUUCCACUGUAAAUGAUGACAUUAAUGCACUAUCUAUAAACAACUUUCAAUAUUGUUUAUUAAACUUUAUAAUUAUGUCAUUGAAGUGUGAAAUGAUGUCAUUUCAUCCAAAAUUAUAAUUGAUUUUCCUCUUUUUUUUUUUAAGUAUGAUUUUAGUUUAGUCUCUAGAAUCCAAGGUUCGCUUGGAAUGGGUCCAUGAAUUUUUUUUAUAUUGCAACUCGACUCCUAGAUAUAUAUUAGUCUAUUAGCUCGUGUUUUGUUAGGGGUUGGAUUAAUUUUUUAAAAUGUUAAAAGUGCAAUGAAUUUUUUAUUGUGUUGGUAAGCUUGGUUUAAUGGUACAAUCAAUGUUGUUAAAAUCACGAUUUUAAUACAACACGGAAAGCCGUUCACAAACUCGGAUCAUAAAAACGGAUCAUAAAAUCGUAAGGAAUUUUAAAAUACAUUAAAAAAUAAUUCAUACUUCAAAUAAAAAAUUCAUAUAUAAUUCAAGCACUUUAAAAAACAUAUAUAGUUCAAGUAUCUUAAAAUACAUGAUUCAAAUAAAAUUUGAGAGUCAAUUGCUCAGAAAUUGAAGAAUUAAUAACUUUGAGAAUUUAAUUAAAAUUUGGAUUAGUUCAAUUAAUAAAAUCAUGAGUUUAAUUAAAAAAUUGAUUAGUUUGAGAACUUAAUUAAACUUUGAUUUAAUUAAUUAAAGAAAUUGAAGAAUUAAUAACUUUGAGAAUUUAAUUAAAAUUUGGAUUAGUUUAAUUAAUGAAAUCAUAAGCUUAAUUAAGGAAUUGAUAAGUUUGAGAAUUUAAUUAAACUUUAAUUUAAUUAAUUAAAGGAAUUGAGGGUUCAAUUGAAGAAACACCAAGGAGGAAGAGGAAGAGCAAGAACAAGAACAAGGAGAAAAACCCAGCAUAAAAGAGCGGUUGUGAAGCCGAAGAGCAUUAAAGAGGCAUCAACUACAAUUGAUCAGGAUUUUCCUUCUAACUCCUCCACGAGCUGCGAUGACUGUUCAAGGAUCGAUGGCUUGGAUUUCGAGGGUGUUGAUAUCUCCACGAGUGCAUGCUCUACUCCAAAAGCUGAGAGAUUUCGGAUACCAGAGAUUCAUACAUGCCCACCAGCGCCGAGAAAGCAAAGGAUGAUAUCGAUUUGCUCUUUGCAGAGGAGACCAAUUGCUUUCUUUGCUCCUCCAGAUUUAGAGCUCUUCUUCUUCUAUGCACUUCAAGUCUGAAAUGUUUGUUCAUGUCGUAUGAUCAAGAUCAUUUGAAUAAUUUCAAGAGGCGAUCCCUAGUGUUUAUUACUUCCAUCUAGUCACAGAUCAUAGCCUGUUCUUUUCAAUUCCAUUGUUGAAGUACGUACAAUGUGAUAGCUUGUCAAUUAGCUUUACCUUCUCCAUCUUGUUUGCUUGCUAAUUUUAUAGCCUGGGUUUUCUACCAGUUAGGAAGGGGAAUGCAAGCAAAACCCAUAGAAAAAACCUAAAAAACAGGGGAACGAGCAGGGGACUGUGCAAGAAUUGUUAGUACUUUCGCGGUUUCGCCUGAAAACUGAAGUGAAGAGUGAAGACAGUGCAAGAAAAAUCAGUACAAGAAAAAAGUGAAGACAGUCUGUGACUGUGCAAGAAAAAUCCAAUAGGCUUCUGACAGCUAGAUAUGAGGGGGGAAUUUUGUUUUAGCGCUUAAUUUUGUCAAAAUCGCAAAAUCGGUCUUGAAAUCGCGAUUUUGCGCAAUUUCAUCCGAUUUUUGCGAUUUCACCUGAUUUCAAUCCGAUUUUAUCCAUUUUCAAUUUUUUCAAGCGAUUCAACCCGUAAUGCAUGUUUUGACUCAUUAGUUUCCAACUAAAUUGCACAAGAGUUAGUCCGAAUUAACCUUACAAACUCGUGUUUUAGAUCAUGAUAAUGAGAUAAUUCAAUAGAAAAAAACUGAAAAAAAAACUACAAAGCCUUUUUUUAAAAAUAAAAAAACAAUAUUGAAUGGUGAUAUAAAAAAAAAGACAAAAAAAGAUGUCAACCCUUGAACCAGGUCAUUAGACUUGAAACACCUUACAUGACAUGAUCAUAAAGUCCAAUCCAUAGAAAAUGAAAUAAAAAAAUUACAAACAAGAAAUCUAAAAUUAAAAAUAUCAAUGAAAAAAAUGAAGGUUAUAAUCAAAAUAAAAAAUAAAUUAAAAAGCAACAAUAAAUUUUCACUUUGAGAUUUAAAAUGAAAAAAAAAAACCAAAAGAUUGAGGAUAGAAAAAAAUAUACACUAUCAACCUGGAUUGGAGGUUGACAUUAAAAAAAAAAAUAAACAUUUAUAAAAGGGUUAAUGAAAAAGAAUCAUAAAAAUAAGGAUUAAAUCGAAAAUCAAUAUAUGAUAAAAAAAAAUUAAACAAGUAGAAUUUUUCAACAUGUUUUUUUACAUUAAAAAAGUCAUAAAUGUAAAUCAUAAAACUUAUACACGCAUUAACUUAUACACGCAUUAAAUUAAAAACAUCAAUACAUGUUUUUUUUUCAAUGUAAAAAAAUAUGUAAUCUUAACCUCUCUUAUUAUAUGGAACCUUUUGACAAAAAAUUGUAUGUUUUGAUGGUUUAAAUUUUCUUAAAUAACAACUUUCUCUCUCUAACUUGUUAAUUUAUUGAAUAAUUUCGAGUCUUGAGUAAUUUUUCAAAUGGGUUCUGAAAACUGAAUGCAAUGAAUUAAUUUAAGACUAAGAGUCUUGCUUUUUCUCUAAGCUUAUCAAUUUGUUUUCCAAAUCUAGUUUUCAUUUAUUAUUAAAAUAUAUUUGAAGAAUGGACAGAGUGAAAUUUGAUGGCCAUGGGAUCAAAUUUCUCAAAAGAAAAUAUGGAGGUGAGGAUUACAAUUACAUAAUAUAUAAAGCAAUGUCUCGAUCUCUGAAGUGAGCAGAGAGUUUUGAGAUAUAGCAUGCUUAGCCCUGUAUCAAACAUGGAUCAGAUAAAUUUUGAAUUUUUUUUAUUUAAAAUUAAUUUUUUUAAUGAUUUCUUUAUUGUUUUAAUGUGUUUAUAUUAAAAAUAAUUUUUAAAAAAUAAAAAAUAUAUUAUUUUAAUAUAAUUAAAAAAACUAUUUUAAAAAGUAAUUUUUAUUAUAUUUUUAAGUACCCUCAUAAAUUACGUCGUUCCUAAAAUUAUAGUUGUGUUGUUCUCAAAAGCAUAAUCUAAAUUUGUUUUUCUUCAGAUCAUUAAUAAUUAUUUUCUCAGGUAUAAUUUUUAUUCUUUGCAUUAAAUUAAUUUUUUGAAAUAAAUAAAUAAUAUAUUUACCACUAUCAACUCGCGAGGAAAUGAUUUUCAAUGAGAAUUGGGUUCAUAUUUUCGGUGUUGUAUUAUUAAUUAUUAAGAUCGAGCGUUGCUAUUUUUCUAUAACCUUUUCUAUUUUUCAUCUUAUUGCGCUAUUUUAAAAAAUGACCGUUAAAUUGUUACUUGGAUUUUGCCUAACACUAACUUCUUCAAAGCUUUUAGACCUUCGACUAGCCGCGGUGCCAUCAUAAUAUUCCAGUAAAGUAGCUACAAUAUUUUCCAAAUAUUAAUUAACUCUUCUUUAUUUUAGCGUGCCUUAAUUAAAAUGGUAUUGAAUAAAAAAUAGUAAAUAAAAGACAAUUAAAUAGUUAAUUUAUUGAAUAAAAAAUUUAAUUUUUAUAAAUUAUUUAUCGAUUUUGGAUAUUCAUCAUCUAACUAUUAUUUAUUAUUUAAUAAAAAAUAAAUAGUUAUAUAUAAUAUAUAUGUAUAUAUAAAUGAUAAAAUUAUAAUAGUAUAGUGUUUUAUAUCAAUAUUGCAAUAUGUAUAUAUCAUGUUGUAUUAUAAAGAUUUAAAUUUUUUAUAAAUAUAUCUAUAUAAUAUAAUAUAUUUCUACUUGGACUCAGGCAAGUUUCAUAUUGGAUUUGAUAAUAUUCAUAUUUUAUCCAUUAUAUAUUAGAUAAGGUAAUUAUCAAAUAAUAUCCACUAAUUCAGGUCAAAUCAAUCAGGUCAAUAUUUAUCGAUUUUGAACUAAAUUGUUGUCUAUACUAAUAAAUUGAUCCAUUAAGUUAUGAGGGAUUCAGAAUGGAAUCAUGGUAUAUCCACCGACCAGUUUCACCGAAUAGGCUAACUAGCUAUUUGACCAACGCUUUACUGUGAAUUAGAUAAAAAAAAAAAAUAGAAACAAAUAAGCUUACUUUUUCAGCGUUUUUUUUUCUAUAAAAAUCCUAAUCAUAAAUAAAUUAAAAAGCCUAUACAUACAUUCAAUUAAAUAAAUCAAGAAUCAUUUGUGCUAAUAAAUGCAAAAAAAGAAGAAGAAGGUGUUAACGCAUCUAUAAGAUUAAAUAUCAUCUUUGGGCCCAUUAAGUUGUGAUGAAUUUAGAAUAGAAUCAUGACAUAUGCACCGAUUAGUUUUACCAAAUAGGCUAAAUUAGCUAUUUGACUCGCAGUUCAACAUGGAUUGGAUAAUUUGCUCUGGCAAAAAAAAAAAUAUAUGCAGCCUUUUCAACAUUUCUUUUGACUAAAAAAUUCCUAAUCAUUAAAAAAAACAUAUACAAUAAUUUUAUUAAAUAAAUCGAGAAUUAUCUAUGUCAUCAAUAAAUGUGAAACAAAACGUUUUAAAACAUCUAUUCAAUUCACCUCAUUGUGGGCCAGAUAAAAAAAAAAUUAUAAUGCAAAAGAAUGAAUGAGUAUGUGUUGUUAACAUGUUUUGUGACAUCGAGUAAAAAAUAUAACUAUAAAUUGAAAAUCCAAUGCUUAUAUUUAAUAAAAUAAAACAAGGAUCAUGUGCAUUAAUAAAAACAUUUAUGAUCUCAAGUUAAUUUUUAAUAUAAUAGAAAAAUAAAACAUUAUUGUGAGUGUGUUUCACUAUAUCAUGAUUGAUACAAUCCAAACUAUACCAAAUAAUCUAUUAGAAGUUCAAAUCGGUCCAAUUACAAGAUCAAGGGUAAAAAAACUUAAAGAUGCAUUCAAUGAGUUUAUUUAGAGUAAUUGAUCCAAAAUGAAUUUCAAGAAAGUUACAACUUCAACAAGUGAUAAUCAGAUCUUAGUCAAUUUAAUAUAUGUGUAAGAGGAGUUCGAUCCAUCUACAACAUAGGCCUAAUUAUUUCACAAUAAUGGGCUAAUUAAUUUUGGCAUUAGAGGUGGUUUGGGGUUUGUUUUCCUAAUACAGUUUUACUCUAACAAUUAUCAUUUUUAAAUCAUAAUUGUUAACAAUGCAUCGGGUUGAAAUUUUACCUGAAGUUUUUGAAAGUUAUGUUCUAUUUUUACUUAAAAUUGUAAAGCAAUAGGAGACUAGAAAGGCUUUGCGAUAAUGUCCAGAAGCUACUAUGCGAAAAUUGUAUUAGUUUUCUAAUUGAUUUAAGACUUUUUUUUCUAUUUUAUUUAGAACUCUUUUAUUAUUUAUCCAAUAUUAUUUAUAAAGUUUCGACAAAUUACAAAGAGAGUUAUUUAACUUAUAUUUAGGGUUUUUUUUUUGGACAAACUUUAAUUUUGUAAUUAUUAUUGUGUGUGUGAGGUUUUGCUCAUACCUUUUGAUUUUUCAUUGAACUACUAUGACUUAUCAAAGAAUUAAUCAAGCUUUAUGAUGUUUUUCAUACUUCUCGUUCGUGUUUUUUUAUAGGCAAUGAAUGAGGGUUCGAUUACUUAUAGUUUUGGUGUCUCGGCACAAGUUAUCGUUAUGUCAAGCUCAAUUUGUUUUAAUCUUAAUGGUCAUUGUUUAUAACCAAGAAUAAAUAAUUUUUAUUUAUAUAAAAUAUAAAAUAAAAUAUAUAGAUGAAUUAUAAUAAUAUCUAAGAAACAUUAAACACAUAUAAAAUAAUUACAAAAUUAUCACUAUUUAAAAAAAGUUAAAUAAAUAAUCUAAAAAGAUUUAGAGAGAAUAGAUAUUGAUUUAAAUAUAAAUUAAAAAAAUAUUUUAAUAAAAUACAUAUUAAAAAAAUAUCAAUUAAAAAAAUAAAAAUUAAAAAACAAAAUCAAGUUGGUUGGUGUUGGGCGUGGCAAGCUAGGUUUGUGUGCCUUGCUCAUUUUGAAAAAAAGCAUGAAUAACACUGACAUACACUCUUUUUUUAUUAUUUUUUUAAUGGAUGAAUAGCAUAAAACAUCAAUUUCUUCACCGAUAACAUAAUAUUUUCUCCAUGAAAAAUUUUCAAGGACAAUAAACAAUUUCAGGAAGACAGUCCCAGAUACAGCCAGUCAAAGAUCAUAUAAAAGCUCAUAUAAAAGCCACACAAAACCAGGCUAGCCAUUGAAGUUAGAUGCACCUUAGAUUUAAGACUAGAUUCUGGGUUUUAACUGGGUUAUUUUUUUUUUUAAAUUAAAACAAAGUUGUUUUAGUAAACUAUAUAUAUAAAAGUCAACAGGUUUACGGUCGGGUCUUGACCGGGUCAACCUGCUGGAUCAGCCGGAUCAUACCGGGUUUUUAUUCAUUCGUUGUUUUAAACACAACCUGAUUUCAAUCUCGGAUUGGCCGGGUUCCAGAUCAACUUGCCGUGCCGAACCGGGUUUCGAAACUAUGAGAUACACACUCCCUAAUUACAGAUUUAAACAUAUCAAGAGAGUUAUUUUUUAGGCGAUUAGAACAACCACUAGUCAAACCUAUUAACCCAGCAAUGGAAAACCUAAUUUUCUUGUGAGGUUUUUUCGCGAGCGGAGCUGUCUACAAAAAGCUAUCUCAUUCACUUUCGGUCCUCUUAGCUGGCCAAGCACUGUAAUGUUAAAUUGUUAACAAUAGAAGCAGUUGAAAACGAGAGUAGCCGCGCGCGCAUUAGGUUGGCAAUGAAACAACGCGCUAUUUAUCUGUCAUGUCACCACUGGCCACUUUAACCCACUCUCCGCGUAGCUUCCCUCCCCAGGAUUUCAACUCUUCCCUGAGACUAUAUAUACCCAAUCUCCUCCUCCGUUUCUCUCCACUCACAAAAUCCUCUCUUCCAUCACUACCGAUCCUCAGAUCAAUCAUGGCCUCCUUUCUUUCUUCACAUUCUCUUCUUCAACUUGCUCUGUUAAUCUCUAUUAUACAAUUCAGCUCAGCUGCAAGGACCUUCUCCGUGUCAGAUCAAAGCCAGGAUCCCUUGUUCUUUCAAUACCACAAUGGCCCUCUUCUCACCGGUGAAGUUUCUAUCAACUUGAUCUGGUAUGGCAACUUUAAGCCAUCGCAGCGAGCCAUUGUCUCAGAUUUUAUUGCCUCUGUCUCUUCUAGAAGACCCACAACAGCCCAACCCUCUGUGGCCACGUGGUGGAAAGCCACUGAGAAAUAUUACAACCUUGUCAAGACGAAGAAAACCUCUCCUCUUCUCCUCUCCGUAGGAGCACAGAUUUUAGACGAGAGCUAUUCGUUGGGGAAAUCGCUCUCCAGCAAGCAAAUCGUGCAGCUAGCAACGAAGGGUGGUCAAAAGGGUGC